UUAACUUCUCUACCCUCAGCUUUUUCUUUUAUAAAACAGAAGUAGGUGUCACUCAUUUCAUAGAGAUGUUAUGUGGGAUGACUAUGAAGUCCCAGUGCUUACAUGUGGAGAGCACAUCCAACUGAGGAUGGCGCUAGUAGCAGUGGUAAGACCAGCUGUCAGAACAGUGUGGUUUGGAAAGAAGUUUCUUGGCAUCUGACUCAUGGCAGGCAGAAGGCCUAGAUUUUUUUUUUUUUAUCAACUCUCUGAGAUUUAUUGCAAAGUAAUUUAUUUCUCUGUACCUCAGUUUUCUCAUAUUUCCGUAGGCAUAAUGAUAUCCCCAAAGAAUCACAAAGUUGUAAGGACCAGGUGAAAUCAUAGUUGUGAAAACCCUUUGAACUCAGUGGAGCCCCAUAUGAAGUAUAUUAAGUUCUAAGUGUAUAAUUGGGUAUUCUGCUACUUGAUGGAUCCUUUGGGAAGCAAAAAAGGCCUUUUGUAAAUUAAGAGGUCAGAGGUCAACUCCACUCACCCAUGAUGGACAGCCAAAAGAAAUGCCACAGGCUCCCGUACUUAUUUCUUGUGCUGACCAGUGAAGCGCCCUUUAAUUAUAAAACAUUGUGCUUUACCUACUACCCUAGCCUUGUCUUUACCAAGGGAUGCCUGUGAGUCCAAUUGGUAGAAAAUACAGACUGAACACAAGUGCUUGUUGCCCUGUGUGGCCCAGAUUCACUUGAAGCAGAAGUUAGCAUCCUGGGCCAGUUUGUUCUUUUGGAACCCAGAAUCUUUGAGGAUAUUGUCGUCUUUGUGAUACUGAACAGAAACAGAAUGAGUCUAGAGCUUUGCUUUCCAUUGAAGGCUUUUGAUGGUAAACGGUGGUAACUUGGUAAAAGACUGCCUUUACUGUAGCUCAUCCAGCAUCUCUUUUACCAACCAGAGAGUGUAAAACUAGUUUCAUAUAUUGCCUAGUUAUUCUUUCAAAACAAAAUAAAAC